rnacentral:rRNA from 1 species
CCUACGGGAGGCAGCAGUGGGGAAUAUUGCACAAUGGGCGAAAGCCUGAUGCAGCAACGCCGCGUGAGGGAUGAAGGCCUUCGGGUUGUAAACCUCUUUUAGCAGGGAAGAAGCGAAAGUGACGGUACCUGCAGAAAAAGCACCGGCUAACUACGUGCCAGCAACCGCGGUAAUACGUAGGGUGCAAGCGUUGUCCGGAAUUAUUGGGCGUAAAGAGCUCGUAGGCGGUUUGUCGCGUCUGCUGUGAAAUCCUGAGGCUCAACCUCAGGUCUGCAGUGGGUACGGGCAAGCUAGAGUGCGGUAGGGGAGAUGGGAACUCCUGGUGUAGCGGUGGAAUGCGCAGAUAUCAGGAGGAACACCGAUGGCGAAGGCACAUCUCUGGGCCGUAACUGACGCUGAGGAGCGAAAGCGUGGGGAGCGAACAGGAUUAGAUACCCUGGUAGUCCACGCCGUAAACGGUGGGUGCUAGUUGUGGGUUCCAUUCCACGGAAUCCGUGACGAAGUUAACACAUUAAGCACCCCGCCUGGGGAGUACGGUCGCAAGACUAAAACUCAAAGGAAUUGACGG